rnacentral:tRNA from 1 species
GGGGCCGUGGGGUAGCCUGGUGAUCCUGCGGCGUUCGGGACGCCGCGACCCGAGUUCAAAUCUCGGCGGCCCCA